GAAAGGCGGGCUAAACCCGCGUACAUGCCACCGGGGCAUCCCGGAGGCAGGAAAGGCUUCGGCCGGACAGGGAUGGGCAUGCGGCGCAUUAGGCAGUAGGCGGGGUAACGGCCCACCUAACCGACGAUGCGUAGGGGUUCUGAGAGGAAGGUCCCCCACACUGGUACUGAGACACGGACCAGACUCCUACGGGAGGCAGCAGUGAGGAAUAUUGGUCAAUGGUCGGGAGACUGAACCAGCCAAGCCGCGCGAGGGAGGAAGGUACAGAGUAUCGUAAACCUCUUUUGUCAGGGAACAAAGACUGGGACGCGUCCCCGGAUGAGUGUACCUGAAGAAAAAGCAUCGGCUAACUCCGUGCCAGCAGCCGCGGUAAUACGGAGGAUGCGAGCGUUAUCCGGAUUUAUUGGGUUUAAAGGGUGCGCAGGCGGUCUGUUAAGUCAGCGGUCAAAGCCCGGGGCUCAACCCCGGCCCGCCGUUGAAACUGGCAGUCUCGAGUUGGAGAGAAGUAUGCGGAAUGCGCGGUGUAGCGGUGAAAUGCAUAGAUAUCGCGCAGAACUCCGAUUGCGAAGGCAGCAUGCCGGCUCCACACUGACGCUGAGGCACGAAAGCGUGGGUAUCGAACAGGAUUAGAUACCCUGGUAGUCC
rnacentral:rRNA from 1 species